UAGUCCACGCCGUAAACGAUGUCUGCUAGCCGUUUGGGCACUUAGUGUCUGGGUGGCGCCGCUAACGCAUUAAGCAGACCGCCUGGGGAGUACGGUCGCAAGAUUAAAACUCAAAGGAAUUGACGGGGGCCCGCACAAGCGGUGGAGCAUGUGGUUUAAUUCGAUGCAACGCGAAGAACCUUACCUACUCUUGACAUCCAGAGAACUUUUCAGAGAUGAAUUGGUGCCUUCGGGAACUCUGAGACAGGUGCUGCAUGGCUGUCGUCAGCUCGUGUUGUGAAAUGUUGGGUUAAGUCCCGCAACGAGCGCAACCCUUAUCCUUGUUUGCCAGCGAGUAAUGUCGGGAACUCCAGGGAGACUGCCGGUGAUAAACCGGGNGGAAGGUGGGGACGACGUCAGGUCAUCAUGGUCCUUACGAGUAGGGGCUACACACGUGCUACAAUGGCGCAUACAGAGGGCAGCCAACUCGCGAGAGUGAGCGAAUCCCAAAAAGUGCGUCGUAGUCC
rnacentral:rRNA from 1 species